CUCGGCAAGCUGUCCUGAUCCAUUCUGGGCUACCGAGGGCCCCGGGGUGGCUACUGACUGCGUGGCACCCAUGGGUGCUCGGCCGGGUGUCCCCGUCCAGUCUGGCCUACUGAGGGCCCCGGGGUGGCUACCGACUGUGUGGCACCCAUGGGUGUUGGGCCAGGUGUCCCCGUCCAAUCUGGGCUACUGAGGGCCCUGGGGUGGCUACCGACUCCAUAGCACCCAUGGGUGCUCGGCCGGGUGUCCCGAUCCGUUCUGGGCUAACAACAUUAUCAGGGUGGCUACCGACUGCGUGGCACCCAUGGGUGCUCGGCAAGCUGUCCUAAUCCAUUCUGGGCUACCGAGGGCCCCAGGGUGGCUACUGACUGCAUGGCACCCAUGGGUGCUCGGCAAGCUGUCCUGAUCCAUUCUGGGCUUGGUGGCCCGUGGUGACCGUUGAGUUGCCAUUGGUGGCCCAUGGUGGCCCUUGGGUUGUGGUUGGUGCCCAUUGGGUCGCGGUUGGUGUCCCCUGGUGGCCCUUGGGUUGACGUUGGUGGCCCUUGGGUUGACGUUGGUGGCCCAUGGUGGCCAUUGGGUUGUGGUUGGUGGCCAUUGUGGCCAUUGGGUUGGGGUUGGUGGCCCUUGGUGGCCACUGGGUUGGGGUUGGUGGCCCUUGGGUUGGGGUUGGUGACCCCUGGGUUGGGGUUGGUGGCCUUGGGUUGGGGUUGGUGUCUCAUGGUGGCCAUUAAGUUGGGGUUGGUGUCCCCUGGUGGCCCUUGGGUUGACAUUGGUGGCCACUGAGUUGACAUUGGUGGCCACUGGGUUGCGAUGGUGGCCCUUGGAUUGACAUUGAUGGCCCUUGGUGGCCACUGGGUUGCAAUAGUGGCCCUUGGGUUGGGGUUGGUGGCCCUUGGUGGCCCUUGGGUUGACGUUGGUGGCCCUUGGUGGCCCUUGGCUUGGGGUUGGUGGCCCUUGGCUUGGGGUUGGUGGCCCUUGGUGGCCACUGGGUUGCCAUUGAUGGCCCUUGGGUUGACGUUGGUGGCCACUGGGUUGACGUUGGUGGCCCUUGGGUUGGGGUUGGUGUUCCUUGGUGGCCCUUGGGUUGAUGUUGGUGGCCCAUGGUGGCCAUUGGGUUGGGGUUGGUGGCCCUGGGGUUGGGGUUGGUG
rnacentral:lncRNA from 1 species